CAAAAUUGGGUGCGUCAUAUUUACUACUCUUCACCACUUCCAUCUACAAGGAGAAACUCCAAGACAAAAUACAAGAGGUUCAUGAUGGGUCCAAUCCAGUCAGGAGAUGUCAGGAGUCCAUGGCUCUGCUUCAGCACGGCAUUCUCCCUGGCUACGGCUUUGUGACUGCCACUUCUCUGGCUCAGUGUGGCUUUGCACUGGCUCUGUUCAUCUUUC